AAAAGAACAAAACCGGAACACUUCUGGAGGUGGGUUCGUUCGUGCCCGAAGGCUUUUGUUCGUGCUCUCCCUUUCCCGGCGGCUCUCCCUUCUCUCCGGCGCCUCCCACUCAGCUGACUCUCCGGCGACUCCCUACUCCGCCGACUCUCCGGCGCCUCCCCACUCGACUGACUCUCCGGCGCCGACAGGUGGUGCUCCUUCACCGGCUGAAGCUUCAGAAUCCAGGCUGGUGAAGCUCGUGGCGAGGGCGUUCUACGACGAUUUCACCACCAAGGGGAGAACCAGCCGAAGUCGAGGCGCAGCGACAACCACGGCAUCGUAAGAAGUGGUAACCAUCUGAAGAAGCCAACUUUACUGAAUGCCAAAUCGAUGUCACUAUUCCCUGCAUUAACAAGACUUCUCUGGACCUUAAUGCUGAAGUCUCAUGAUGUAUUAGAAAUUACUCUGGGUCUAUUAAGAGAGUUCCUCUGCCAUCUCCAGUGCUGAUCUUUUUGGCAACAGUUCAGAUUCUGCUCUGGACAUUUCUGCAAGUGACCUCAUCAACAGGCUCUCUUUUCAGGCUCAGCAGGAUAUCUCUUCCCUUAAGAACAUCGCGGGAGAGACUGGAAAGAAUAAGGUCCUUUGCGUCCUCCUUCAUAAAUGAUCUCCAAGACAGAGUCCUCUAAUUUGCAGGUCCUCUUGGUCCCGGAGAAGUGAAGUCCGACCCAUCAUCGCCCGAUUAUGUAAUGGAUGUGAAGGAGAGCUUUUAAGAAAUUCUUUUCAGGAGACAAAUAAAGAAUUUACUUUGAUCUAAGACAGUUUGAGAGUAUUUUGUAGCACAGGUAUUGCCUUAAAGAAUGAUAUGUCGCCUUUUUGUCAGUUACACAACUGAGCUUUUUGUCGAGCCUCAUACUAUUGUGCAUUGGCUUGAUAACAAGUUUCUGAUAAAGCAUUGGCCAUAGGUAGCGAUUUGCUCAAUUGCUUUGUGUGUAAAAGUGAUGGUUUUUUGGCGGGCUUA